rnacentral:rRNA from 1 species
GACGAACCGAGCGAACGUUAUUCGGAAUCACUGGGCUUAAAGGGCGCGUAGGCGGGCGGCCAAGUCAGGGGUGAAAGCCCCCAGCUCAACUGGGGAAGUGCCUCUGAUACUGGUCAUCUCGAGGGAGAUAGGGGCGUGCGGAACUUCCGGUGGAGCGGUGAAAUGCGUAGAUAUCGGAAGGAACACCGGUGGCGAAAGCGGCGCGCUGGAUCUCUUCUGACGGCUGAGGCGCGAAAGCCAGGGGAGCCGGAACGGG